GAUGAACGCUGGCGGCGUGCUUAACACAUGCAAGUCGAACGAUGAUGGGAGCUUGCUCCUGGAUUAGUGGCGAACGGGUGAGUAACACGUGAGUAACCUGCCCUUAACUCUGGGAUAAGCCUGGGAAACUGGGUCUAAUACCAGAUAUGACUCCUCAUCGCAUGGUGGGGGGUGGAAGGCUUUAUUGUGGUUUUGGAUGGACUCGCGGCCUAUCAGCUUGUUGGUGAGGUAAUGGCUUACCAAGGCGACGACGGGUAGCCGGCCUGAGAGGGUGACCGGCCACACUGGGACUGAGACACGGCCCAGACUCCUACGGGAGGCAGCAGUGGGGAAUAUUGCACAAUGGGCGCAAGCCUGAUGCAGCGACGCCGCGUGAGGGAUGACGGCCUUCGGGUUGUAAACCUCUUUCAGUAGGGAAGAAGCGAAAGUGACGGUACCUGCAGAAGAAGCGCCGGCUAACUACGUGCCAGCAGCCGCGGUAAUACGUAGGGCGCAAGCGUUAUCCGGAAUUAUUGGGCGUAAAGAGCUCGUAGGCGGUUUGUCGCGUCUGCCGUGAAAGUCCGGGGCUCAACUCCGGAUCUGCGGUGGGUACGGGCAGACUAGAGUGAUGUAGGGGAGACUGGAAUUCCUGGUGUAGCGGUGAAAUGCGCAGAUAUCAGGAGGAACACCGAUGGCGAAGGCAGGUCUCUGGGCAUUAACUGACGCUGAGGAGCGAAAGCAUGGGGAGCGAACAGG
rnacentral:rRNA from 1 species